UACGUAGGGUGCAAGCGUUAAUCGGAAUUACUGGGCGUAAAGCGUGCGCAGGCGGUGAUGUAAGACAGGUGUGAAAUCCCCGGGCUUAACCUGGGAACUGCGUUUGAAACUACAAGGCUAGAGUGUGGCAGAGGGGGGUGGAAUUCCACGUGUAGCAGUGAAAUGCGUAGAGAUGUGGAGGAACACCGAUGGCGAAGGCAGCCCCCUGGGUUAACACUGACGCUCAGGCACGAAAGCGUGGGGAGCAAACAGG
rnacentral:rRNA from 1 species